UGUGGACCUGGUGAGUGUCGAUGAGGUGCUUCAGGACGUGUUUGGAGUGGAAAGGUGAAGGAGAGUAAUACACCAGCUUAGGGAGGCACAGAGAGCUGACUGCAGAGAUUUCAAACCUGCGGCCCUGAAGAGCAAGAGAAAGGUGUGGACCAACCUGGAAAGUGAAGCGGUCAAUAUCAGUCCAGGAGAAAUCAUGCAGUCGACACUGUUUCCCCUCCACCUCCUUCAGAAAAUACAGUUUACACCAGUUAUACAAAAUCUCAAGUGUUCUUGAGAUUUUGGUUCGUCUGAAUGCGACCGACCUGUCUCAUCCUGUAGAAGGUGACCGGUCCAUCCUGCAGGCUGCUGGCCUCUUUUAUAAACUGCAGGACAGCUUGGCUGUGAGACAGACCUCUCAGCUCGACGUGAACCACCGGACACUGCUGGAGCAGGAAGUCUCGACCACGUUGCUUUAUCAGCUGAGGACACACAGCUCCAGAUCUCCAACUUCAGCUUGAAGUGCAGAAGCUGCCAGCUGGAAGAACAAAGCUUCCUGAUGGCGGCUCUGUGACUGCAGCACCCUCUGCCUCAGCUCAGCAUAGUAGAGCUGCUGCACCUUGCUGCUCCUUAAAUGACCAAAUUCAACUGUCAAGACAUUUUUUUCCCCUUCAUUUGUACUUUAAGCGAUUAUGUUUUUAACUGAUAGGGUACAACAUUCAGAGUUUGAAUAUGAAGCAGACAGAUAAAUAUUAUAUAUAGAGACCGACUUACAAUAUCAGCCGCCCGCUCUCUACAUAAUAUUGUACCCUCAGGAAUAAGAUGAAUGGGAUCUGCACAAGUAGAAUAAAUAUUUCAGCAGAGUAACGAAGAGAAUUAUUGCUCAACCUGAUGAACAUUACAAGGUGAUAUUUGUA